ACUUAUUAAUGAAAGCAUUACAUGGAUAAUAUCUGUGCAAUGUCUUAAAAUUAAUUUCCUUUACCUUAUUGGGCAAUACGAAACUAUUACAUUCUCACCAUAUUUUCUCAAUAAAAGAGAUGUGAAAAAAUGGGCUUCCGUUUCACAAGUGCAUUUGGACAGAAACAAACAUUUUGGAUGAGACACUUUCUAAUAGGAAAAUUGUUACAUUUUCUAUCCAUAAUAUGUUCACCUCUAAUAACAAUAUUUGCGAUCUCAUUUCCAAUCGCGUCAUAAAGAUGUGUUUUUAACAAGAUGAAGCAAUCUUAUACUCUCCGUUUAGCUAUCCAUCACCGUUCCACACUCCAGCCCAGUAUGUGAAGGGAAUGCACCAAAUAUCUGUUUGCAAACCACCAUAAAUCUCUAAAAGAAGAAGCCGCUGUUAUCGCGAUAUCUUGUUGUGAAGAAAAGGCGGAUACGUUGAGAGGCAGGUUACCCAGGCAACAACCGCACGAACUGUAAACAUUCAUCAGCUUCUGUUCUUGUUCAAUUUGAAGCAGGUUAGCAGAUAUUUCCAGACACAACUUUUAAGUUUUAUAAUGCAGACACCAGGUGCUUUAAAGAUAGACCUCAAUAGAGUGUUGUGUGAUGGACCACCCCUGAACAUGUUGGAGGAAGUGAUGGAACUCAACUGGGUUGAUAUCAGAAGCCAGCAGGUAUGUUUAGUUGUGAGCCGUGUCAGAUGUGCUUUACGUUCACAUUUUUUAUAUAUUCACUAUACAAUUCAAUUUGUAUUGUUUUUAGACGCAACCUUACACAUUUAAAGUUCAGUUUGUGAAUUCAUUUUUGAGAGUUAGAUCAAUGCUUUGGUUGUCCGUUUAUUUGAUUAAAACAUCUAUUUCCCAGGGGAAGCAUAUAUUGAUUGAAAGAACCCUUCCCUCGCUUGCGUCUAAUGCUGUGAAGAACAAUGAUUUCAACGCUCUUCUUGUCCUCCUAGAACACGUAAUCUAACUCAUUGUUAGAUGAGUUAGAAUAUAUAAGACAUAAGAAUAUAUAAGAUAUAUAUAUAUAUAAUACAUAAGAAUAUAUCUGAACCAACACAGCAAAUAAUGAAAUGUGUAAUUGGCAACAUUUUGCCUUUUCUUCUACAUUUCUGACAAUCGUUUGAAGGUGGAUGUCAAUUCAGGAGACUAUAAUGGACAAACACCUCUCCAUACAGCCUGUGAAUUGGGCAACUUGGACAUGGCAAUGUUCCUGCUGGGAAAAGGGGCUUCACCUGACUCUGUGAACAGCUCUGGAAAAUGCCCAUUACACUUGAAUAUUAAGAACAGGUAAAUAAAAGCCUUUUUGGAAUUUAAACAGGCUGUGAACUCAAUGGGGCGGUUGCCCGGACAGGGUUUAAGUCUAGACUUAAAAAAAAAAAUGUAAGAGCUGUCUAAAAUAAAAUUGCACUGACAUAUGUUAAAAUACAUCAGUGGAGUUGUUUUGUUUUAAAAAGCACACAAGUCAUGUUUUUAAAAACUACUUUAAUGUCCUAAAUUACCUAAGGCCUAUAGUCCCGGUUUAAAAUAACCCCUAUCUGGGAAACCAGCCCAAGAAGUUUUUUUAGCUAAAUUGACAUUCACUAGCCAUUCAUUCAUUUAUUGCCAUGUUCAAAUAGAGAUGCUCAAUUGACCUUAUAUGUAACUGUGAUGGACUGGCAACCUAAACAGGUGCAUGGAGAUAAAAAGUUAAAUUACUAAAAAUAGUUCUUCUGUGACAUGCUCCCGGAUUUAUCAGGUAUAGACUGCUGUGUCUUGUAGGCAUUUUAGAGUUAUCAAGCUUCUGCGGUUGAGAGGGUUCACUUUGAAACUACACCCAGUGAGAAUUGCCAUUGAAAUGAUCCAGUAAGCAGUAAUUUGGUCAAUUCUUUCAUUUUUUCCACUUACAUAUGUAUAUAAGCAACAAGCAUUUUUCCCCAAAUUGCACACAUUUUCUAUAACACAUACAUAUCUAUGAGUCAUAAAUGGUUUUGUUUCAACUGUCCCUCUACAGAACAGUACGCAAGAGAGAUCAUGCGCUACUUCAUGCCUGGUUUCUGUCAGGGGUGGACAUGGACACCACUGACUACAAUGGGUGGACAGCAAUGAAGGAGGCUGUUCAGUUGGGGGACAAAACCAUGAUCUCCAAACUAGUGGACUACAGAACCACGCCAUUGUCCUCUGUGCCCGUGUAAAGGAGGAGAAGAGUCUCGCUGUAAUCUUUCCCAUUCUGCAGACUCUCUGCCCUGUACUGUAGAUAAAC